CAGAUCAUCGUCCCACUCGUGUUGGAGUGAGCUGCUGUAAGGAAGUGUCAAAAGCAAGAAUCCCUGCUUCAAUUAAACUGAUGGGAUACAAUCAUCAGAAUGCUCUGAGUCCAUGUGUGGAUGCUGUAAUAUUCUACACAGAGAAGGAAAAGUUAUGUUCAGAUCCAAAAGCACCCUGGAUUAAAAACCGUCUGAAUGGUCUGAAGAAGAUAGUGGACUGAGUCAAUGGAGGCCAUGAAGAUGCUGCAGGUCUACCCAUUUAUCAAUACAUCUACAGUAUCUAUAAAAAGAAGAAUAUAUAUUACAUUUGCUUAUUUACCAUUAGCUUAUGUGAAUUUUAAAAUAUGUUUCACUUAAUUACUUUAUUUGAUCUACUUUAAAAUAAAAUUUCAAACUGCUUUGACAUAAACAUCCAACCUUUUCUCUGUAACAGUUUGGACUGUAUUUAAUCAU